AGAGUUUGAUCAUGGCUCAGGAUGAACGCUGGCGGCGUGCCUAACACAUGCAAGUCGAACGAAGCGAUUUGGAAGAAGUUUUCGGAUGGAAUCCAAAUUGACUGAGUGGCGGACGGGUGAGUAACGCGUGGGUAACCUGCCUCACACUGGGGGACAACAGCUGGAAACGGCUGCUAAUACCGCAUAAGCGCACAGCUUCGCAUGAAGCAGUGUGAAAAACUCCGGUGGUGUGAGAUGGACCCGCGUCUGAUUAGCCAGUUGGCGGGGUAACGGCCCACCAAAGCGACGAUCAGUAGCCGG
rnacentral:rRNA from 1 species